AACGAACGCUGGCGGCAUGCCUAACACAUGCAAGUCGAACGAGACCUUCGGGUCUAGUGGCGCACGGGUGCGUAACGCGUGGGAACCUGCCCUUAGGUUCGGAAUAACUCCCCGAAAGGGGUGCUAAUACCGGAUAAUGUCUUCGGACCAAAGAUUUAUCGCCUUUGGAUGGGCCCGCGUUGGAUUAGCUAGUUGGUAGGGUAAAAGCCUACCAAGGCGACGAUCCAUAGCUGGUCUGAGAGGAUGAUCAGCCACACUGGGACUGAGACACGGCCCAGACUCCUACGGGAGGCAGCCGUGGGGAAUAUUGGGCCAUGGGCCAAAGCCUGAUCCAGCCAUGCCGGGGGAGUGGAGAAGGGCUUAGGGUUGUAAAGCUCUUUUACCCGGGAUGAUAAUGACCGUACCGGGAGAAUAAGCCCCGGCUAACUCCGUG
rnacentral:rRNA from 1 species